rnacentral:tRNA from 1 species
UGCCGCGAGCCGGGAUCGAACCAGCGACCUCAAGAUCUCCCAACUAAGUUAUCACGGC